rnacentral:rRNA from 1 species
UACAGAGGGUGCAAGCGUUAAUCGGAGUUACUGGGCGUAAAGGGCGCGUAGGCGGAUAUUUAAGUCGGGUGUGAAAUCCCUGGGCUCAACCUAGGAAUUGCAUUCGAUACUGGAUAUCUAGAGUAUGGUAGAGGAAAGUGGAAUUCCCGGUGUAGUGGUUAAAUACGUAGAUAUCGGGAGGAACACCAGUGGCGAAGGCGGCUUUCUGGCCCAAUACUGACGCUGAGGCGCGAAAGCGUGGGGAGCAAAC